rnacentral:lncRNA from 1 species
AAGGUAUGUGUGCAAUUCACGCGUUAGAGUAACUGGUAAAGUUGCUGACAUGUAAUUCAAGCCUUGGAAACAGCCUCUGACAGAAAUGCAAGGUAAGACUGCGUACAAUACACCCUUAUGGUGGGACCCUUCAGUAGACCCCACGCGUACCGGGAGUUUUAGUGCACCGGGUUGUCCUUUUUUAUCAUUAUUUUCGAAAAUGUUUUUCAAACAGACUUAUUUUCUUCAAAUUUAAAGAAAAUGACUUCCCUGCAUAAAAUAAGGCAACAUUCCGAGACCUGGACCUGGAAUUCGGGACCUGACUUGACUCUCGAGACCCGACUCCUAACUCUGAUCCUAACCUCAACCCUAUCGGGAGUCGGGUCCAGGAUCAGGGUGGGGUUCCAAAUUCCAGGUCGGGAUCGAGAGUCUGGUCUCAAGUCGAAUCCAGUGUCAUGGUAUUUAUCCAUAUUAUACCUAAAUGUUCUUGAGACGGUAUAUUUUUCUUACUGACCAAACACGAGAAAAUAAGUACGAAAAAAUCACUUAAUAUUUUCUGGGAAAACAUUUUCCUUCACACCAAACACACCUAUAUAUGUAUUACUUUUUGUUUUCUUUAUUGACCCUUUUUUUUUAACUUAAGUUCACACUUAGAUUUGCAUUUUACGCUUCAAGCCUAGAUAGUCCUGAAGCGCUUUUUAACGCUUUUCGCGUUUGACAACACUAGUCCUGAUUCAAAAAUUUGUUUUUUUAUGUCGCGUCUAAAAUCAUAAAUUCUGUGUGUAUGUAUGUAUAUAUAUAUAUAUAUAUAUUCAUAUUAAUUGUUACCAUUGUUUUACUUAUACUUGUUAUUUUCUACUAUGGCAGUAAAAAUGCAUACAAGAAGCUAACAAUGGAGGGUAUAUUUGCAAAUUGCAGAUGAAUAAAUCAUUUGAAGUACAUAAAUAAUUGAUAAAAGGUAUAUAAAAAAUACAUCAUGUAGCUUGGAAUCUCCAGAAAUGUUACAGCACCCGUGUUUUGGAUUCUCCGAAAAUACCUUACUUUAAAGAGAGUCUGACACGUACGUAUUGACAUUUUCAAAGACUCCGAGCAAUUCUAUGUAAACUUUGGUUUAUGAGAUUUAUAUAGAAAUCUACUAAUUGUACAGCUUCUAAAUACUAUUAUUAGCCAAUAUGAUAUUGAAAUUUAGAAAUACAAAUAAUUUCAU